GAUGAACGCUGGCGGCGUGCCUAAUACAUGCAAGUCGAACGGCGGCACGAGAAGCUUACUCUUCUUGGGUUAGCGGCGGACGGGUGAGUAACGCGUAGAUAACCUGCCUUUUAGUCGGGGAUAACUACGGGAAACGAUAGCUAAUACCGCAUAAUACUGGCUACCGCAUGAAGCAUAUGUGAAAGGGGCCUUUGCUGACCUACAAAGCUGAUUUCGGUUUUAUUAGCUUGUUGGGUAGGGAAAGGCCCACCCAAGGGACCAUAGCUAGCCGGCCUGGAAGGGUGAUCGGCCAAACUGGAACUGAGAAACGGUCCAGACUCCUCCGGGAGGCAGCAGUGGGGAAUAUUGGCCAAAGGGCGAAAGCCUGCCGGAGCACGCCCGCGUGGGUGAUGAAGGUCUCCGGUUUGUAAAACCCUUUUGUUGGGAAAGAAGAGAGGGAGAAUGAAACGUUCACAUUGUGACGGUACCUAAACAGAAAGCCACGGCUAACUACGUG
rnacentral:rRNA from 1 species